rnacentral:rRNA from 1 species
GUGCCAGCAGCCGCGGUAAUACGUAGGGUGCGAGCGUUGUCCGGAAUUACUGGGCGUAAAGAGCUCGUAGGUGGUUUGUCGCGUUGUUCGUGAAAACUCACAGCUUAACUGUGGGCGUGCGGGCGAUACGGGCAGACUGGAGUACUGCAGGGGAGACUGGAAUUCCUGGUGUAGCGGUGGAAUGCGCAGAUAUCAGGAGGAACACCGGUGGCGAAGGCGGGUCUCUGGGCAGUAACUGACGCUGAGGAGCGAAAGCGUGGGGAGCGAACAGGAUUAGAUACCCUGGUAGUCCACGCCGUAAACGGUGGGUACUAGGUGUGGGUUUCCUUCCUUGGGAUCCGUGCCGUAGCUAACGCAUUAAGUACCCCGCCUGGGGAGUACGGCCGCAAGGCUAAAACUCAAAGGAAUUGACGGGGGCCCGCACAAGCGGCGGAGCAUGUGGAUUAAUUCGAUGCAACGCGAAGAACCUUACCUGGGUUUGACAUGCACAGGACGCGUCUAAGAUAGGCGUUCCCUUGUGGCCUGU